rnacentral:rRNA from 1 species
GACGAACGCUGGCGGCGUGCCUAAUACAUGCAAGUUGAGCGAUGAAGAUUGGUGCUUGCACCAAUUUGCAGAGCAGCGAACGGGUGAGUAACGCGUGGGGAAUCUGCCUUUGAGCGGGGGACAACAUUUGGAAACGAAUGCUAAUACCGCAUAACAACUUUAAACAUAAGUUUUAAGUUUGAAAGAUGCAAUUGCAUCACUCAAAGAUGAUCCCGCGUUGUAUUAGCUAGUUGGUGAGGUAAAGGCUCACCAAGGCGAUGAUACAUAGCCGACCUGAGAGGGUGAUCGGCCACAUUGGGACUGAGACACGGCCCAAACUCCUACGGGAGGCAGCAGUAGGGAAUCUUCGGCAAGAGACGAAAGUCUGACCGAGCAACGCCGCGUGAGUGAAGAAGGUUUUCGGAUCGUAAAAAUCUGUUGGUAGAGAAGAACGUUGGUGAGAGUGGAAAGCUCAUCAAGUGACGGUAACUACCCAGAAAGGGACGGCUAACUACGUG